rnacentral:rRNA from 1 species
CAGUAGCCGCGGUAAAACGGAGGGUGCAAGCGUUAAUCGGAAUUACUGGGCGUAAAGCGCACGCAGGCGGUCUGACAAGUCAGAUGUGAAAUCCCCGGGCUUAACCUGGGAACUGCAUUUGAAACUGUCAGGCUGGAGUCUUGUAGAGGGGGGUGGAAUUCCAGGUGUAGCGGUGAAAUGCGUAAAGAUCUGGAGGAAUACCGGUGGCGAAGGCGGCCCCCUGGACAAAGACUGACGCUCAGGUGCGAAAGCGUGGGGAGCAAACAGGAUUAGAUACCCCGGUAGUCCCUGUCUCUUAUAC